CUAGGAUCUGACUAUGAAGAAGCUCGACUGAAGUCUGUCUGUAAUAGAAGUUCGAAAGAAAUUCAUUUACAGUAGAGGCUCAGAUGGAAUUCGCAUACAGUAGAGAUCCGGAGUAGACCGCCUGCAGUAGAAGUUCGAAGUAGACUGCUUACGGUAGAAGUUCAGAGUAGAGAUCUGGCUGGUGGAGCCCUUCGUUGUCAAAAUUCAUC
rnacentral:lncRNA from 1 species